rnacentral:miRNA from 1 species
UUUGAUAGGAACCCCGCCUGA